GGGUGUGCGCUCAUCCAUUCUUACACCCCCCCCAACUCUGUGGUCUUUGGACGAGGAGGAGGACGAACACGAAGGGGAGGAGGGGAGGGAGAAGGAGGGUGCUGAUGAUGAUGAGACACAAUGGCUGCAUCAAUGAGGCAACUGCAGAGGGUGCCAAACCGGAUCGUCGGCGCAAGAAACAUGUGUGCCUUGCCGCAGAAAUCCCCUCUCUCCUCUUCUGAGGAGCUCAUGAGGUUGGAACAGCAGUGUAGCGCUCACACUUACCAUCUCAUUCCUAUGGUGUUUUCUCAAGCAAAAAGUACAUUGAUUUCUUAUCUGCGUAUUCUGCUGUUGAUCAGAGGGUGUGGAAACAGCAUUGAAGUUGGCACGAAAAUGGAGCUAUGAGAAGAAAAAGAUCCCCAAGGAUGAGGGCUACUAUGUUGGGACAGGAGUUCAGGAAUCAACUAAUGAAGAUUCAUCUGCAGUUCCCACGAAUAGUAAAAUAGAUUGAAGGAAGAGGAUUGCUUAACGCAGUAGAAUUGAACAACAAAGAACUAUCUCCUGUUUCUUCAUAUGAUUUAUGUAUUAAACUGAAGGAGAGUGGCAUUCUCACAAAGCCAACACAUGAUUCCAUUAGUCAAUUCGCUCCACCACCAUCCAUAA